UCAAUAUUAGUUUAAUAAGAAUUUUAAUUUGUGAAGUUAAAGGUAUAAUAUUAUAUAAUUUA
rnacentral:tRNA from 1 species